AGCGAACGCUGGCGGCAGGCUUAACACAUGCAAGUCGAGCGGGCCCUUUCGGGGGUCAGCGGCAGACGGGUGAGUAACGCGUGGGAACGUGCCCUUUGGUUCGGGAUAACCCAGGGAAACUUGGGCUAAUACCGGAUAAGCCCUUUUUGGGGAAAGAUUUAUUGCCAAAGGAUCGGCCCGCGUCUGAUUAGCUAGUUGGUGAGGUAAUGGCUCACCAAGGCGACGAUCAGUAGCUGGUCUGAGAGGAUGAUCAGCCACACUGGGACUGAGACACGGCCCAGACUCCUACGGGAGGCAGCAGUGGGGAAUAUUGGACAAUGGGCGCAAGCCUGAUCCAGCCAUGCCGCGUGAGUGAUGAAGGCCUUAGGGUUGUAAAGCUCUUUCGGCGGGGACGAUAAUGACGGUACCCGCAGAAGAAGCCCCGGCUAACUUCGUGCCAGCCGCCGCAGUAACAC
rnacentral:rRNA from 1 species